AUUGAACGCUGGCGGCAGGCCUAACACAUGCAAGUCGAACGAGUGGCGGACGGGUGAGUAAUGUACGGGAAACUGCCUGCUUGUGGGGGAUAACUACUGGACACGGUAACUAAUACCGCAUACCAUCGGAUGUGCCCAGAUGGGAUUAGAUAGUAGGUGGGGUAAAGGCUCACCUAGGCGACGAUCCCUAGCUGGUCUGAGAGGAUGACAAGCCACACUGGAACUGAGACACGGUCCAGACUCCUACCGGAGGCAGCAGUGGGGAAUAGUGCACAAUGGGCGCAAGGCUGAUGCAGCCAUGCCGCGUGGAUGAAGAAGGCCUUCGGGUUUGAAAGGACUUUCAGCGGGGAGGCGUUACCCGCAGAAGAAGCACCGGCUAACUCCGUGCCAGCAGCCGCGGUAAUAC
rnacentral:rRNA from 1 species